rnacentral:rRNA from 1 species
UGGAGAGUUUGAUCCUGGCUCAGAUUGAACGCUGGCGGCAGGCCUAACACAUGCAAGUCGAACGGUAACAGGAAGCAGCUUGCUGCUUYGCUGACGAGUGGCGGACGGGUGAGUAAUGUCUGGGAAACUGCCUGAUGGAGGGGGAUAACUACUGGAAACGGUAGCUAAUACCGCAUAAYGUCGCAAGACCAAAGAGSKGGACCUUCGGGCCUCUUGCCAUCGGAUGUGCCCAGAUGGGAUUAGCUAGUAGGUGGGGUAACGGCUCACCUAGGCGACGAUCCCUAGCUGGUCUGAGAGGAUGACCAGCCACACUGGAACUGAGACACGGUCCAGACUCCUACGGGAGGCAGCAGUGGGGAAUAUUGCACAAUGGGCGCAAGCCUGAUGCAGCCAUGCCGCGUGUAUGAAGAAGGCCUUCGGGUUGUAAAGUACUUUCAGCGGGGAGGAAGGYGWURAGGUUAAUAACCYUYRKCRAUUGACGUUACCCGCAGAAGAAGCACCGGCUAACUCCGUGCCAGCAGCCGCGGUA